rnacentral:misc_RNA from 1 species
GAGCCCUUCUUUAAGCCAUUAUUACUAGGAGAAACACACUUGAUCAGGUGAAGGUAGCUGAUUACAAAAGUCUCUUUUCUUGCAGAUACAUUGAAAAAAUUCAAUGAUCGUGAAGGAAAAUUCAAGGAGCCCUUGAUGGAGGAUGUGGUUGGUGUGCUAAGUUUAUAUGAGGCUGCACAUCUUGGCAUACGAGGUGAGAAUAUCUUGGAUGAAGCCAUGGUUUUCACCACCACAAAACUCCAGUUAAUAUUACCUAAACUAAGCCCGGACCUCGCAGAACAAGUUAGCCAUGCCCUGAACCGGCCCAUUCGCAAAAGAUGAAAGAUCAUAUUGCUUGGCUG